AGAUGUGAGGGCUGUCUGGCUGUGACAUCUGUCACCCCAUUGGUUGCCAGAGUUGACUCAGCUGGUCUGGCUGGCUAGGUGGUGUCCCUUCCUCCCUCACCCUCCCUUGUGUGUCCUUCCCGAAGCUGCAUGCUCUGUGGAGGAGGGCGACCAUCUCUGAUAAGAGGACUGGUCUUUGUUGAAGGGAUACGAGUAGCUGUGCUCCUCUGUUAGAACCUUCAAACAAACUCUUGAAAAUGUAAAGAUGCUGUUAGUGGAUGAACAAGAUGUAGUACCUACACUCAAUGGAGCAUCAGUCACUAUUUACAAAGGAAGGAAAUAUGU
ensembl:misc_RNA 7SK 7SK RNA